rfam:Lupinus angustifolius cultivar Tanjil chromosome LG16, whole genome shotgun sequence.
UAGCCAAUGAUGAUAUCAGUAAAUAUUCAUACCAUCUUUCGGGACUGAAUGGCUUAUUUGCCUUGCUGUUACUUUCUGCAAUUCUGAGGCUU